rnacentral:rRNA from 1 species
UGGGGAAUAUUGCGCAAUGGGGGCAACCCUGACGCAGCCAUGCCGCGUGAAUGAAGAAGGCCUUCGGGUUGUAAAGUUCUUUCGGUGACGAGGAAGGCGUGAUGUUUAAUAGGCAUCACGAUUGACGUUAAUCACAGAAGAAGCACCGGCUAACUCCGUGCCAGCAGCCGCGGUAAUACGGAGGGUGCGAGCGUUAAUCGGAAUAACUGGGCGUAAAGGGCACGCAGGCGGCUAUUUAAGUGAGGUGUGAAAUCCCCGGGCUUAACCUGGGAAUUGCAUUUCAGACUGGGUAGCUAGAGUACUUUAGGGAGGGGUAGAAUUCCACGUGUAGCGGUGAAAUGCGUAGAGAUGUGGAGGAAUACCGAAGGCGAAGGCAGCCCCUUGGAAAUGUACUGACGCUCAUGUGCGAAAGCGUGGGGAGCAAACAGGAUUAGAUACCCUGGUAGUCCACGCUGUAAACGCUGUCGAUUUGGGGAUUGGGCCUUGAGCUUGGUGCCCGAAGCUAACGUGAUAAAUCGACCGCCUGGGGAGUACGGCCGCAAGGUUA